rnacentral:rRNA from 1 species
CUACGGGAGGCUGCAGUCGAGGAAAUUUUACAAUGCUCGAAAGAGUGAUAGAAUGAGUCAGAGUGUUUCUCUUAGAGAAACUUUUUUCUGUUGUAAAAAGACAGAAGAAUAUGGACUGGGAAAGACCGGUGCCAGCCGCCGCGGUAAUACCGGCGGUCCAAGUCGCAUCCACAUUUAUUGGGUCUAAAACAUCCGUAGCUUGUUUUAUAAGUCUCUUGUGAAAUUCUACAUCUCAAGUGUAGAGCGUGCAAGAGAUACUAUAUUACUAGAGACCGGAAGGCGUAAAGAGUAUGGUUGAGGUAGCGGUAAAAUGUGUUAAUCUCAAUUAGACUAACAAUUAGCGAAGGCACUUUACGAGUACGGAUCUGACAGUGAGGGAUGAAGGCUAGGGGCGCAAAAGGGAUUAGAUACCCCGGUAGUC